rnacentral:rRNA from 1 species
GUUGAUCUGGCUCAGGAUAACGCUGGCGGCGUGCAUGAGACAUGCAAGUCGAACGGACGAUCGAGGCUUGCUUCGAUCGUUAGUGGCGGACGGCUGAGUAACGCGUAGGUGACCUGCCCCGAAGUGGGGAAUAACUGCCCGAAAGGGUGGCUAAUACCGCAUGUGGUGGUGCGUUCAAUCGCACCAGUAAAGCCGCAAGGCGCUUCGGGAGGGGCCUGCGUCCGAUUAGCUCGUUGGUGGGGUAACGGCUCACCAAGGCGACGAUCGGUAGGUGGUCUGAGAGGACGAUCACCCAGACUGGGACUGAGACACGGCCCAGACUCCUACGGGAGGCAGCAGUGGGGAAUAUUGCACAAUGGGCGGAAGCCUGAUGCAGCGACGCCGCGUGAGGGAUGACGGCCUUCGGGUUGUAAACCUCUUUCAGCCCUGACGAAGCGCAAGUGACGGUAGGGGCAGAAGAAGCGCCGGCCAACUACGUGCCAGCAGCCGCGGUAAGACGUAGGGCGCGAGCGUUGUCCGGAUUUAUUGGGCGUAAAGAGCUCGUAGGCGGCUUGUCGCGUCGGCUGUGAAAUCCCGUGGCUCAACUGCGGGCUGGCAGCCGAUACGGGCAGGCUAGAGUUCGGUAGGGGAGACUGGAAUUCCUGGUGUAGCGGUGAAAUGCGCAGAUAUCAGGAGGAACACCGGUGGCGAAGGCGGGUCUCUGGGCCGAUACUGACGCUGAGGAGCGAAAGCGUGGGGAGCGAACAGGAUUAGAUACCCUGGUAGUCCACGCUGUAAACGUUGGGCGCUAGGUGUGGGGGGCCUCUCCGGUUCUCUGUGCCGCAGCUAACGCAUUAAGCGCCCCGCCUGGGGAGUACGGCCGCAAGGCUAAAACUCAAAGGAAUUGACGGGGGCCCGCACAAGCGGCGGAGCAUGCGGAUUAAUUCGAUGCAACGCGAAGAACCUUACCUGGGUUUGACAUCAUCGCUAAUCCUCCAGAGAUGGGGGGUCCUUCGGGGGCGGUGACAGGUGGUGCAUGGCUGUCGUCAGCUCGUGUCGUGAGAUGUUGGGUUAAGUCCCGCAACGAGCGCAACCCUCGUUCGAUGUUGCCAGCGGGUUAUGCCGGGGACUCAUCGAAGACUGCCGGGGUCAACUCGGAGGAAGGUGGGGAUGACGUCAAGUCAUCAUGCCCCUUAUGUCCAGGGCUUCACGCAUGCUACAAUGGCCGGUACAAUGGGCUGCGAUACCGUGAGGUGGAGCGAAUCCCAAAAAGCCGGUCUCAGUUCGGAUCGGGGUCUGCAACUCGACCCCGUGAAGUCGGAGUCGCUAGUAAUC